rnacentral:rRNA from 1 species
GGUUAAGCGACUAAGCGUACACGGUGGAUGCCCUGGCAGUCAGAGGCGAUGAAGGACGUGCUAAUCUGCGAUAAGCGUCGGUGAGGUGAUAUGAACCGUUAUAACCGGCGAUUUCCGAAUGGGGAAACCCAGUGUGUUUCGACACACUAUCAUUAACUGAAUCCAUAGGUUAAUGAGGCGAACCGGGGGAACUGAAACAUCUAAGUACCCCGAGGAAAAGAAAUCAACCGAGAUUCCCCCAGUAGCGGCGAGCGAACGGGGAGGAGCCCAGAGCCUGAAUCAGUGUGUGUGUUAGUGGAAGCGUCUGGAAAGGCGUGCGAUACAGGGUGACAGCCCCGUACACAAAAAUGCACAUAUUGUGAGCUCGAUGAGUAGGGCGGGACACGUGGUAUCCUGUCUGAAUAUGGGGGGACCAUCCUCCAAGGCUAAAUACUCCUGACUGACCGAUAGUGAACCAGUACCGUGAGGGAAAGGCGAAAAGAACCCCGGCGAGGGGAGUGAAAAAGAACCUGAAACCGUGUACGUACAAGCAGUGGGAGCCUCUUAAUGGGGUGACUGCGUACCUUUUGUAUAAUGGGUCAGCGACUUAUAUUCUGUAGCAAGGUUAACCGAAUAGGGGAGCCGAAGGGAAACCGAGUCUUAACUGGGCGUUAAGUUGCAGGGUAUAGACCCGAAACCCGGUGAUCUAGCCAUGGGCAGGUUGAAGGUUGGGUAACACUAACUGGAGGACCGAACCGACUAAUGUUGAAAAAUUAGCGGAUGACUUGUGGCUGGGGGUGAAAGGCCAAUCAAACCGGGAGAUAGCUGGUUCUCCCCGAAAGCUAUUUAGGUAGCGCCUCGUGAAUUCAUCUCCGGGGGUAGAGCACUGUUUCGGCAAGGGGGUCAUCCCGACUUACCAACCCGAUGCAAACUGCGAAUACCGGAGAAUGUUAUCACGGGAGACACACGGCGGGUGCUAACGUCCGUCGUGAAGAGGGAAACAACCCAGACCGCCAGCUAAGGUCCCAAAGUCAUGGUUAAGUGGGAAACGAUGUGGGAAGGCCCAGACAGCCAGGAUGUUGGCUUAGAAGCAGCCAUCAUUUAAAGAAAGCGUAAUAGCUCACUGGUCGAGUCGGCCUGCGCGGAAGAUGUAACGGGGCUAAACCAUGCACCGAAGCUGCGGCAGCGACACUAUGUGUUGUUGGGUAGGGGAGCGUUCUGUAAGCCUGUGAAGGUGGCCUGUGAGGGUUGCUGGAGGUAUCAGAAGUGCGAAUGCUGACAUAAGUAACGAUAAAGCGGGUGAAAAGCCCGCUCGCCGGAAGACCAAGGGUUCCUGUCCAACGUUAAUCGGGGCAGGGUGAGUCGACCCCUAAGGCGAGGCCGAAAGGCGUAGUCGAUGGGAAACAGGUUAAUAUUCCUGUACUUGGUGUUACUGCGAAGGGGGGACGGAGAAGGCUAUGUUGGCCGGGCGACGGUUGUCCCGGUUUAAGCGUGUAGGCUGGUUUUCCAGGCAAAUCCGGAAAACCAAGGCUGAGGCGUGAUGACGAGGCACUACGGUGCUGAAGCGACAAAUGCCCUGCUUCCAGGAAAAGCCUCUAAGCAUCAGGUAACAUCAAAUCGUACCCCAAACCGACACAGGUGGUCAGGUAGAGAAUACCAAGGCGCUUGAGAGAACUCGGGUGAAGGAACUAGGCAAAAUGGUGCCGUAACUUCGGGAGAAGGCACGCUGAUAUGUAGGUGAAGCGACUUGCUCGUGGAGCUGAAAUCAGUCGAAGAUACCAGCUGGCUGCAACUGUUUAUUAAAAACACAGCACUGUGCAAACACGAAAGUGGACGUAUACGGUGUGACGCCUGCCCGGUGCCGGAAGGUUAAUUGAUGGGGUUAGCGGUAACGCGAAGCUCUUGAUCGAAGCCCCGGUAAACGGCGGCCGUAACUAUAACGGUCCUAAGGUAGCGAAAUUCCUUGUCGGGUAAGUUCCGACCUGCACGAAUGGCGUAAUGAUGGCCAGGCUGUCUCCACCCGAGACUCAGUGAAAUUGAA